rnacentral:rRNA from 1 species
GACGAACGCUGGCGGCGUGCUUAACACAUGCAAGUCGAACGAAGUGGCGAACGGGUGAGUAAUACGUGAGUAACCUGCCAUCCUUUUUGGGAUAAGCCUUGGAAACGGGGUCUAAUACCGAAUAAAGGGGGAUGGGCUCGCGGCCUAUCAGCUUGUUGGUGGGGUGAUGGCCUACCAAGGCGGUGACGGGUAGCCGGCCUGAGAGGGUGACCGGCGACAUUGGGACUGGGAAACGGCCCACAGUGCGACGGGAGGGGGCAGUGGGGGAUAUUGCACGAUGGGCGAAAGCCUGAUGCAGCGACGCCGCGUGGGGGAUGAAGGCUUUCGAGUUGUAAACCUCUUUCGCUACCGAAGGGGUAGGUAGAGAAGAAGCGCCGGCUAACUACGUGCCAGCAGCCGCGGUAAUUC